rnacentral:rRNA from 1 species
AUUGAACGCUGGCGGCAUGCCUUACACAUGCAAGUCGAACGGCAGCGGGGGAGAAGCUUGCUUUUCCUGCCGGCGAGUGGCGAACGGGUGAGUAAUACAUCGGAACGUGCCCUGUAGUGGGGGAUAACUAGUCGAAAGAUUAGCUAAUACCGCAUACGACCUGAGGGUGAAAGUGGGGGACCGCAAGGCCUCAUGCUAUAGGAGCGGCCGAUGUCUGAUUAGCUAGUUGGUGGGGUAAAGGCCUACCAAGGCGACGAUCAGUAGCUGGUCUGAGAGGACGAUCAGCCACACUGGGACUGAGACACGGCCCAGACUCGUACGGGAGGCAGCAGUGGGUAAUUUUGGACAAUGGGCGAAAGCCUGAUCCAGCAAUGCCGCGUGUGUGAAGAAGGCCUUCGGGUUGUAAAGCACUUUUGUCCGGAAAGAAAUGGCUCUGGUUAAUACCUGGGGUCGAUGACGGUACCGGAAGAAUAAGGACCGGCUAACUACGUGCCAGCCGCCGCGGUAA